rnacentral:ncRNA from 1 species
UGGUGUCCGCGGAAGGACAUUACCGAGUUUACAACUCCCAAACCCCUGUGAACAUACCUAUACGUUGCCUCGGCGGAUCAGCCCGCGCCCCGUAAAACGGGACGGCCCGCCCGAGGACCCCUAAACUCUGUUUUUAGUGGAACUUCUGAGUAAAACAAACAAAUAAAUCAAAACUUUCAACAACGGAUCUCUUGGUUCUGGCAUCGAUGAAGAACGCAGCAAAAUGCGAUAAGUAAUGUGAAUUGCAGAAUUCAGUGAAUCAUCGAAUCUUUGAACGCACAUUGCGCCCGCCAGUAUUCUGGCGGGCAUGCCUGUUCGAGCGUCAUUUCAACCCUCAAGCUCAGCUUGGUGUUGGGACUCGCGGUAACCCGCGUUCCCCAAAUCGAUUGGCGGUCACGUCGAGCUUCCAUAGCGUAGUAAUCAUACACCUCGUUACUGGUAAUCGUCGCGGCCACGCCGUUAAACCCCAACUUCUGAAUGUGACCUCGAUCAGUAGAUGCG